AAACAUGUCUUUUUGUGAAUAAUUUAAAGUCUAAUCUGCCCACUGAUNAAAUUAUUAAAGGGCUGCAGUAUUUUGACUGUGCAAAGGUAGCAUAAUCAUUAGUCUCUUAAUUGGUGACUUGUAUGAAAGAUUGGAUGAAAUAUAUACUGUCUCUAAUUAAUUUAUAAAAUUUAAUUUUUUAGUAAAAAAGCUAAAAUAAGUUUAAAAGACGAGAAGACCCUAUAGAGUUUAAUAAUUUAUUUAAUUAUUAUUAAUAUUUAAAUUUUAAAGUUAAAAUUAAAUAAAUUAUUUUGUUGGGGUGAUAGAAAAAUUAAAUUAACUUUUUUUUUAUUUUAUACAUAAAUUUAUGAAUAGAUGAUCCAUUAAUAAUGAUUAAAAGAAAAAAUUACCUUAGGGAUAACAGCGUAAUUUUUUUUUUUAGUUCAAAUAGGAAAAAAAGUUUGCGACCUCGAUGUUGGAUUAAGAUAAAAUUUAAAUGCAAAAGUUAAA
rnacentral:rRNA from 1 species